UACGUAGGCAGCAAGCGUUGUUCGGAGUUACUGGGCGUAAAGAGUGCGUAGGCGGUGCUCCAAGUCCGUUGUGAAAUCUCCCGGCUUAACUGGGAGGGUGCGGUGGAAACUGGGGUGCUUGAGUGUGGGAGAGGUAAGCGGAAUCCCUGGUGUAGCGGUGAAAUGCGUAGAUAUCAGGAGGAACACCGGUGGUGUAGACGGCUUACUGGACCACGACUGACGCUGAGGCACGAAAGCGUGGGUAGCAAACAGG
rnacentral:rRNA from 1 species